GGGGCUUCACCGCCUACCAAAUCCUGACAAACUCCGAAUGCCAGUAGUAUGAUUUUCAGCAGUGAGCCGUCGGGUGCUAAUGUCCGGCGACAAAAGAGGAACAACUCAGACCAUCAGCUAAGGCCCCCAAACAUACACUAAGUUGAACUAACGAUGUGCGACUGCAGCGACAGCUAGGAUGUUAGCUUGGAAGCAGCUAUUCAUUUAAAGAGUGCGUAACAGCUCACUAGUCGAGCGGUUGUGCGUGGAUAAUAAACGGGCAUCAAGUGUAUUGCCGAAGCUAUGGGAUCGAAAGAUCGGUAGGGGAGCAUUCCAUCGACGCAGAAGCCGGAUCGUAAGGUCCGGUGGAGUUUAUGGAAAAGCAAAUGUAGGCAUAAGUAACGAUAAGGCGGGAGAGUAACCCGCCCACCGCAAGACCAAGGUUUCCUGAUCAACGUUAAUCGGAUCAGGGUUAGUCGGGCCCUAAGGGUAAGCCGAAAGGUGAUCUCGAUGGACAAUCGGUUAAUAUUCCGAUACUAGCAUAUACUGCGACGGAGGGACGGAGAAGCGUAAGCUACGCGAACAGACGGAAUUGUUCGUUAAAGGGUGUAGGUAUAUCGAGGAGUUAAUAGCUUUUUGAUGCUGAAACCUGACAGUACCAAGCGGCUACGGCCAAUUGGAUAGUUAGCCCAAGCAAGCUUCCGAGAAAAACUUCUAAGCUUCAGGUAUAUGGUACCCGUACCGUAAACCGACACAGGUGGUCGAGGAGAGUAUCCUAAGGUGCUUGAGUGAAUCACGGAUAAGGAACUAGGCAAAUUAACCCCGUAACUUCGGGAUAAGGGGUCCCCACGCCAGUGGGGCGCAGCGAAGAGGUCCAGGCAACUGUUUAACAAAAACACAGGGCUCUGCUAAUUCGAAAGAAGAAGUAUAGGGCCUGACACCUGCCCGGUGCUGGAAGGUUAAGAGGGGAUGUUAUCGCAAGAGAAGCAUUGAAUCGAAGCCCCAGUAAACGGCGGCCGUAACUAUAACGGUCCUAAGGUAGCGAAAUUCCUUGUCGGGUAAGUUCCGACCUGCACGAAUGGUGUAAUGAUCUGGACACUGUCUCAUCCGUGAGCUCAGUGAAAUUGUAGUCCCGGUGAAGAUGCCGGGUACCCGCAACGGGACGAAAAGACCCCGUGAACCUUUACUAUAGCUUAACGCUGAAUUUGGGUACACAAUGUGUAGGAUAGGCCGGAGGCUUUGAAGCGGGCACGCCAGUGUUCGUGGAGCCGACGUUGAAAUACGGCCCUUUGUGUAUUUGAGUUCUAACCCUGCGAAGGGGACACCGUUUGGUGGGUAGUUUGACUGGGGUGGUCGCCUCCAAAAGCGUAACGGAGGCUUCCCAAGGUACCCUCAGCACGAAUGGUAACCGUGCGCGGAGUGCAAUAGCAUAAGGGUGCUUGACUGUGAGACAUACAAGUCGACCAGGUACGAAAGUAGGGUAUAGUGAUCCGGUGGUUCUGCGUGGACUGGCCAUCGCUCAAAGGAUAAAAGGUACUCCGGGGAUAACAGGCUGAUCGCCGCCAAGAGCUCAUAUCGACGCGGCGGUUUGGCACCUCGAUGUCGGCUCGUCACAUCCUGGGGCUGGAGAAGGUCCCAAGGGUUCGGCUGUUCGCCGAUUAAAGUGGCACGCGAGCUGGGUUCAGAACGUCGUGAGACAGUUCGGUCUCUAUCUGUUGCGGGCGUAGGAAAUUUGAGGGGUCCUGACCUUAGUACGAGAGGACCGGGUUGGACGAACCUCUGGUGUAUCAGUUAUGCCGCCAGGUGUACUGCUGAGUAGCCAUGUUCGGAUUGGAUAAGUGCUGAAAGCAUCUAAGCACGAAGCCUUCCCCAAGAUGAGAUUUCCCUUGAGGGUCGUAGGAGACUACUACGUUGAUAGGCCACAGGUGUAUAGGCAGUGAUGUCACAGCCGAGUGGUACUAAUUGCCCGAAAGGCUUUCUUCCA
rnacentral:rRNA from 1 species